UUCCCAAUCUUUGUUAAACCUCAUGAGAAGGGCCAUCCAUGACAGACGAAGCAGAAGAAGAGGGAAACCAGAGUUCUACACGGGUUCCUCCAGUUCCAAUUGCAGCAUCUGUUACUCUUGGUGAGAUCACCCGCACUACACAUCCAUAACUCUCCAGUAUUUCUCGAGAAACAGUUAGUCCAGCUACAAAGUUCCAUGUCAUGUUGUCCUUUACCCUAUCUUCAGAAAAUAGGUCUGCUCCGAAAGGUGCUAGAGAAUGCAUCUGUGUCUAUACAAAGGUAAAGGAGACAAACUUCAAUUCUAUCACACACAAGCCAGUCGAUAAAUUUAGUCAUCAGCAUACUCCCUUGAUAUUAUUAAGUUCAUAUUCUCAUUUAAGUGCCACACGGUAUCAUCUUAAAAUCAGGAAUUGUCUUAGUGAUCAUGAUAUUGAAUAGAUUUCAUGAAACAUACCAUAUAGUGCAUAUCAAGGCCAUCAUCGUCAAUUAUAACAAGAGCACCCCCUGCAGGUGCUUCAGUGGCAAUGAUUUCAACCUUCCCACCAGCUUGUAUACGCAAUAAAGCACCCUCAAUCAAAUUACCCAAAGCCUGGCGUAGAGAAGGCUCUUCAACCGGCACCGGUAAAGAUCUUGGAACUUCAGAAAGUAAAACAGCUCUC
rnacentral:lncRNA from 1 species